ACGGGUGAGUAACGCGUGGGAACAUACCCAACUCUACCGAAUAACUCUCGGAAACUUGUGCUAAUACCGUAUACGCCCUUCGGGGGAAAGAUUUUUCGGAGUUGGAUUGGCCCGCGUUGGAUUAGCUAGUUGGUGGGGUAAAGGCCUACCAAGGCGACGAUCCAUAGCUGGUCUGAGAGGAUGAUCAGCCACAUUGGGACUGAGACACGGCCCAAACUCCUACGGGAGGCAGCAGUGGGGAAUAUUGGACAAUGGGCGCAAGCCUGAUCCAGCCAUGCCGCGUGUGUGAUGAAGGCCUUAGGGUUGUAAAGCACUUUCACCGGAGAAGAUAAUGACGGUAUCCGGAGAAGAAGCCCCGGCUAACUUCGUGCCAGCAGCCGCGGUAAUACGAAGGGGGCUAGCGUUGUUCGGAAUUACUGGGCGUAAAGCGCACGUAGGCGGAUCGAUCAGUCAGGGGUGAAAUCCCAGAGCUCAACUCUGGAACUGCCUUUGAUACUGUCGAUCUAGAGUAUGGAAGAGGUGAGUGGAAUUCCGAGUGUAGAGGUGAAAUUCGUAGA
rnacentral:rRNA from 1 species